CACGUAGGGGGCGAGCGUUGUCCGGAUUUAUUGGGCGUAAAGAGCUCGUAGGCGGUUUGGCAAGUCGGGUGUGAAAUUUCGAGGCUCAACCUCGAAACGCCACUCGAUACUGCCAUGACUGGAGUCCGGUAGAGGAGUGCGGAAUUCCUGGUGUAGCGGUGAAAUGCGCAGAUAUCAGGAGGAACACCAACGGCGAAGGCAGCACUCUGGGCCGGUACUGACGCUCAUGUGCGAAAGCGUGGGGAGCAAACAGG
rnacentral:rRNA from 1 species